rnacentral:rRNA from 1 species
CCCUGCCUUUUGUACACACCGCCCGUCGCUCCUACCGAUUUCGAGUGGUCCGGUGAACCUUCUGGACUGCCAUGCAGUCAGGAAAGUAAACCUUAUCACUUAGAGGAAGGAGAAGUCGUAACAAGGUU